UACGUAGGGUGCAAGCGUUGUCCGGAAUUACUGGGCGUAAAGCGCGCGCAGGCGGCCCGCGAGGUGUCACGUGAAAGCCCCGGGCUCAACCCGGGAGGGUCGUGGCAAACCGGCGGGCUUGAGGCCGGUAGAGGUGGGUGGAACUCCUGGUGGAGUGGUGAAAUGCGUAGAGAUCAGGAAGAACACCCGUGGCGAAGGCGGCCCACUGGGCCGGUACUGACGCUGAGGCGCGAAGGCGUGGGGAGCGAACGGG
rnacentral:rRNA from 1 species